rnacentral:rRNA from 1 species
AGCGAACGCUGGCGGCAGGCCUAACACAUGCAAGUCGAACGAACCUUUCGGGGUUAGUGGCGGACGGGUGAGUAACACGUGGGAACGUGCCCUUAGGUUCGGAAUAACUCAGGGAAACUUGUGCUAAUACCGAAUGUGCCCUUCGGGGGAAAGAUUUAUCGCCUUUAGAGCGGCCCGCGUCCGAUUAGCUAGUUGGUUGAGGUAAUGGCUCACCAAGGCGUCGAACAGUAGCUGGUCUGUGAGGAUGAUAAGCCACAUUGGGACUGAGACACGGCCCAAACUCCUACGGGAGGCAGCAGUGGGGAAUCUUGCGCAAUGGGCGAAAGCCUGACGCAGCCACGCCGGGUGAAUGAUGAAGGUCUUAGGAUUGUAAAAUUCUUUCAGCGGGGACGAUAAUGACGGUACCCGGAGAAGAAGCCCCGGCUAACUUCGUG